rnacentral:lncRNA from 1 species
AGCCUAGUUAGUUCAUGAUUGGACAAUAAUUAUCACAUACAAAUAAAAGUGCUACAGUAGCUAUUUGCAAAAUUUUCUGCAACUAAACAAGACCUAUAUGUUGACAAGGUAACAGUAAUAUGUCAGUGUUUAUAUGUGGAGCUGCAUAUUUUUUAUUUUGUUCUUUAGCUUUCUUCUUUUAUUGAAAAAAGAGAAAGAGAAAAACGGUAACGGUUGUUUGAUUUCUUCCGGCUUACAUAUGUAAAGUCUCUUUUUGAUUUUUUUUAUUUGUUUCAACAAGUGAUGUUUGUUUCUGAUGUGUUUUUUACAGGACAUUGAGAAAUUUCAGCAACCUAAGGUAUUCGCUCAUGCUCAUGACACCAAGAAAACCUAGCUGCCAGUACCUGUUGAACUAUUAGUUUGGUGACUAAGGUCACUUCUGAGAUAGGGAUCUUUGAUUUCUAUUUAUUUAUUUUAUCUAUGAUAACUUUGUGACUAAGGUCACUUGGUGAACUAACAGUUUGUUGUUGUGAUGAAUAUAAUAAAUAUAUUGAUGAAUGACUUGUGAACCUGUUGAUUUGGUCAUGAAUGGAAUAUAUUGUUGGACCUAUAUAUGUUAAUGUGGAUUGUUUGAUGUGUGGGUGGGGUACGUGAUGGUAUGUAUCGAGCCAAAUCAAUGAGUCAUCCUAUGUGACAGUGCUUAAGAACCUUUGACAUAAAAGUAGAAGUCAUAAAUGCUUGUGACAUCUAAAAACAAUGUCACAAUAUUAUGACAUGAGCACUUAGAUGUCACAAGUUAUCAUUAAAGACACGCAUCUUUUGACAUUUUAGUUUUAGUCAACUUGGUGUCAUAAAUGG